GAACCUGAUCCCCGGGGGCAGAUGGAGGUGGGAUCCCCCUUCCGCAGGACCACAGAGGGGCCCGAGGUGCCCACUACUCACCUGCCGCUACCUCGAGAGACACAGGGCAUAAUAGUUACAGUUUACACCUUUUUAUUGCUGAGUGGGAUCCCAUUGUAUGAAAUAGGACAAUUUGGCCACGUGUUGAUGGACAUUUUGCUGUUUCCAGGAUUGGACUGCUUGACAAGAGUUCCAGUUGCUCCACAACUUGACCAACACUCAGCUUGUCAGACUUCUGAUGGGUGUGUAGCGAUAUCUCUUGGGGACUGCAGGGCUCCCAGGCCACAGGAGGACAACAAGUCCAGAGCCCAUGUCAUCAGACUUUCUCAAGUCACAGGCCAAAUUGGAGAGGCCACAUGCCCGAAGCCACCCAGAGGGGUCAAGCAAAGCCAGGACUCCAGGCAGCAAAUCUUCCUUAUGUCCUUCCUGCAUGUGAGGCCCUGAGCAGAGUGCCAGGGAUGAGGAGGGACAGACAGAGCAGCAGCUGGCCUGACCGCCCAGUGGCAGAUGUGAGCAAGUUAUCAACUCUAGCACAACAGGAGAGCCCUUACCUGCAGCUGGGGAGACCGGGGACCUCCUGGCUGAAGUGACCUUGAAGCCAAGGCCUCAAAGCUGAAGAGGAAUGUGUUUUCCCAAGAUAAAUGCAAAGGCUGAGAUUCAAGAAAAAAACAGGUGUGAGU
rnacentral:lncRNA from 1 species